GCCUGGGUGGCUCAGUGGGUUAAGCAUCUGACUUCAGCUCAGGUCAUGAUCUCACUGCUUGUGAGUUCGAGCCCUGCCUAGGGCU
rnacentral:tRNA from 1 species